AUACAUGCAAGUCGGACGGGUAGCAAUACCAGUGGCAAACGGGUGCGUAACGCGUAAAUAACCUGCCCCAAACUGGGGGAUAGCCCGGCGAAAGCUGGGGUAAGCCCGCAUAGUCUUGUUUAGUGGCAUCACUUGGACGAGUAAAGCAGCGAUGUGGUUUGGGAGGGAUUUGCGUCUGAUUAGCUUGUUGGGGGGGUAGUGGCCCACCAAGGCGAUGAUCAGUAGGGGCUCUGAGAGGAGGGUCCCCCACAUGGGCACUGAGACACGGGCCCAACUCCUACGGGAGGCAGCAGUAGGGAAUAUUGGGCAAUGGACGCAAGUCUGACCCAGCCAUGCCGCGUGCAGGAAGACGGCCCUCUGGGUUGUAAACUGCUUUUAUCGGGGAAGAAAAUCACUCUUGCGAGGGUGCAUGACGGUACCCGAGGAAUAAGCACCGGCUAACUCCGUGCCAGCAGCCGCGGUAAUACGGAGGGUGCAAGCGUUGUCCGGAUUUAUUGGGUUUAAAGGGUGCGUAGGUGGCCUCUUAAGUCAGUUUUGAAAGCUGGUCGCUUAACGAUCAGGGGUGGAUUGAUACUGGGGGGCUUGGAUCAGGUGGCGGUUUCUGGAACGGGUCGUGUAGCGGUGAAAUGCAUAGAUAUGACCCAGAACUCCGAUUGCGAAGGCAGGAGGCUACACCUGGAUUGACACUGAGGCACGAGAGCAUGGG
rnacentral:rRNA from 1 species